GCAUAACUACUCUGCAUCAAAAACAAAAGAAGAUUGAAGAUUAGAUUGAAGGAAGGCCAAUUAAAACAAAAGAGAAAGAGCCUUCGUACCUGUUUGCAGCAAAUCUCGAUUCAUAUUCUUCUCGUUUUCACGCACGCGCAACAAUGAUUCAAGCUGUUGAUAUUGGAUUUCAAAAACUGAUUUGAUGUUGGAGCCUAUUUUUUCUUCGUUUCACUCCCCUCUGAAUCCAUGAAUCCACAAGCAUGAAAGAAGGUUGAAGACUUGGAGAUGAAGCAGUGUGUUGAGCUUUCAAGUACGCAUUUGGAGGUUCGUUUCAGAUGAUGAAGAUUGGAGAAUCAC
rnacentral:lncRNA from 1 species